rnacentral:rRNA from 1 species
GAAACGUCUUCGGAUGAGCUGUGGGUAGGGGUGAAAGGCUAAUCAAACUGAGAGAUAGCUCGUACUCCCCGAAAUGUUUUUAGGAACAGCCUGGGGUCUACUGUCUUAGAGGUAGAGCUACUGAUUGGAUGAGGGGGUCUCACCGCCUGCCAAAUCCUGAUAAACUCCGAAUGCUAAGACAUAAUACCCUGGAGUGAGGCCGUGGGUGCUAAGGUCCAUGGCCGAGAGGGAAACAACCCAGAUCAUCAGCUAAGGUCCCUAAAUGUAUGUUCAGUUGUUCUAACGAGGUCUGACUGCAUUGACAGCUAGGAUGUUGGCUUGGAAGCAGCCAUUCAUUUAAAGAGUGCGUAACAGCUCACUAGUCGAGCGGUCAGGCGUGGAUAAUAAACGGGCAUAAACAUACUACCGAAGCUAUGAACUGCCGAUAAAAUCGGCAGUGGUAGGGGAGCAUUCCAGUCUGCACCGAAGUCCCGAUGUAAAUCGAGAUGGAGCGUCUGGAAAAGAAAAUGUAGGCAUAAGUAACGAUAAUCCCGGUGAAAAACCGGGACACCGAAAGACUAAGGUUUCCUGAUCAACGCUAAUCGGAUCAGGGUUAGUCGGGACCUAAGGCGUACCCAAACGGGAUAGCUAAUGGAUAUCAGGUUAAUAUUCCUGUACUUCCUUACAGUGCAAGGUAGGGACGUGAACAUCAGGUGCUUACGUACUGACGGAAUAGUGCGUCGAGCCUAGCCUUUGGGCGAAGCAAAAGCAAGUAGUGUCCACCAAGAAAAGCUACCAAAGCUUCAGCUGUAAGGAACUCGUACCGCAAACCAACACAGGUAGUCGAGGAGAGUAUCCACAGGUGCUCGAGUGAUUCAUGGCUAAGGAACUAGGCAAAUUGACCCUGUAACUUCGGAAGAAAGGGUCCCCGACUACGGUCGGGGCGCAGAGAAAUGGCCCAGGCGACUGUUUAACAAAAACACAUGGCUUUGCUAAAUCGAAAGAUGACGUAUAAGGCCUGACACCUGCCCGGUGCUGGAAGGUUAAGGGGAGAGGUUAUCCCGACUCGUCGGGAGAAGCUUCAAACUGAAGCCCCAGUAAACGGCGGCCGUAACUAUAACGGUCCUAAGGUAGCGAAAUUCCUUGUCGGGUAAGUUCCGACCUGCACGAAUGGUGUAACGAUCUGGGCACUGUCUCAGCCAUGAGCUCGGUGAAAUUGUAGUAGCGGUGAAGAUGCCGCUUACCCGCAACGGGACGGGAAGACCCCGUGAACCUUUACUAUAGCUUAACAUUGACUCUGGAUAAAUGAUGUGUAGGAUAGGUGGGAGACUGUGAAGUCCCAACGCCAGUUGGGAUGGAGUCAACCUUGAAAUACCACCCUUCGUUUAUUCGGAGCCUAAUCCCCUCUAUCGCGGGAAACAGUGUUUGGUGGGUAGUUUGACUGGGGUGGUCGCCUCCAAAAACGUAACGGAGGCUCUCAAAGGUACCCUCAGCACGCUUGGUAACCGUGCGUCGAGUGCAAUGGCAUAAGGGUGCUUGACUGCGAGACUUACUAGUCGAACAGGUAGGAAACUAGGACAUAGUGAUCCGGUGGUCCCAUAUGGAAGGGCCAUCGCUCAAAGGAUAAAAGGUACUCCGGGGAUAACAGGCUGAUCACUCCCAAGAGCUCACAUCGACGGAGUGGUUUGGCACCUCGAUGUCGGCUCGUCAUAUCCUGGGGCUGGAG